GUUUCUAUAGCUCAGUGGGUCGGGGCAUGCUCAAAUUCGGAAAAACGAAGGGCGUGGGUUCAAACCCCACUAGCAGCA
rnacentral:tRNA from 1 species